rnacentral:rRNA from 1 species
GACGGAAGGUGCAAGCGUUGCUCGGAAUCACUGGGCGUAAAGGGUGCGUAGGCGGCCGUGCAAGUCUGGCGUGAAAGCCCCGGGCUCAGCCCGGGAAGUGCGCUCGAAACUGCGCGGCUCGAGUGCCGGAGGGGAGAGUGGAAUUCCUGGUGUAGCGGUGAAAUGCGUAGAUAUCAGGAGGAACACCGAUGGCGAAGGCAGGUCUCUGGGCCGAUACUGACGCUGAGGAGCGAAAGCGUGGGGAGCGAACGGG